rnacentral:rRNA from 1 species
GCCUAGGAAUCUGCCUGGUAGUGGGGGACAACGUUUCGAAAGGAACGCUAAUACCGCAUACGUCCUACGGGAGAAAGCAGGGGACCUUCGGGCCUUGCGCUAUCAGAUGAGCCUAGGUCGGAUUAGCUAGUUGGUGAGGUAAUGGCUCACCAAGGCGACGAUCCGUAACUGGUCUGAGAGGAUGAUCAGUCACACUGGAACUGAGACACGGUCCAGACUCCUACGGGAGGCAGCAGUGGGGAAUAUUGGACAAUGGGCGAAAGCCUGAUCCAGCCAUGCCGCGUGUGUGAAGAAGGUCUUCGGAUUGUAAAGCACUUUAAGUUGGGAGGAAGGGUUGUAGAUUAAUACUCUGCAAUUUUGACGUUACCGACAGAAUAAGCACCGGCUAACUCUGUGCCAGCAGCCGCGGUAAUACAGAGGGUGCAAGCGUUAAUC